GCACUUUAUUUGAUUUCCUUCGGGACUGAUUAUUUUGUGACUGAGUGGCGGACGGGUGAGUAACGCGUGGGUAACCUGCCUUGUACAGGGGGAUAACAGUUGGAAACGGCUGCUAAUACCGCAUAAGCGCACGGCAUCGCAUGAUGCAGUGUGAAAAACUCCGGUGGUAUAAGAUGGACCCGCGUUGGAUUAGCUAGUUGGUGAGGUAACGGCCCACCAAGGCGACGAUCCAUAGCCGACCUGAGAGGGUGACCGGCCACAUUGGGACUGAGACACGGCCCAAACUCCUACGGGAGGCAGCAGUGGGGAAUAUUGCACAAUGGGCGAAAGCCUGAUGCAGCGACGCCGCGUGAGCGAAGAAGUAUUUCGGUAUGUAAAGCUCUAUCAGCAGGGAAGAUAAUGACGGUACCUGACUAAGAAGCACCGGCUAAAUACGUGCCAGCAGCCGCGGUAAUACGUAUGGUGCAAGCGUUAUCCGGAUUUACUGGGUGUAAAGGGAGCGCAGGCGGUGCGGCAAGUCUGAUGUGAAAGCCCAGGGCUCAACCCCGGUACUGCAUUGGAAACUGUCGUACUAGAGUGUCGGAGGGGUAAGCGGAAUUCCUAGUGUAGCGGUGAAAUGCGUAGAUAUUAGGAGGAACACCAGUGGCGAAGGCGGCUUACUGGACGAU
rnacentral:rRNA from 1 species